UCUCGUGAGGAGGGGGGGGGGGAGCGUUUGACCUGCCUGCCGAGUAUACGUGCGCCAACACACUUAACACCGUGGAGGCUGAGAACUUCAAAGAGUAUUCAUUGGCCAUGUGCUAGCGCCAAAUGUUGGAGUGUUGUGCUGCAUUUUAUCACCAGUAGAAGCGCAUAUCUGCGAGUCGACACACUGCUGCAUCGCUGUUAUUAGCAAUGGUUUAAGCAUUAUUUCGUGUGGACUGGAAAUGAACAGUGCACCUCUUUGCUAUUGCAAAGAAAAAUGUCUUGUUGGCCUGAAUGCCAGCUGUGAAAUAAGUCAUUUUCUUUAUUCUGGUUUGCCUACCAUGAGAAGAUUUGAACAAUGGAAUGACUCUAGCCCAUUUCCAUGAACAAGGAACUGUACAAGUGGAUACAGAUUUCUCAAAAAUCAUGGUGAGGUAUUGACACGUCCAGAGCGCAUAACGAUGAAGGAACACAUUGUUGACAUUGUCUGGACUGCAGCCUUUUUUGGUGUCAAGAUUUAAAAUAAGGUUCAGGACUCCUUGUUUACAUAUUGUAACAUUGUUAAUUGCACGGGACAUGUUAGUUGUCGUGGAGUAGGGAGGAAUUACGCCAUUGUCCUGUGUGAAUACAGACUGAAAAUAUUCAUUGAAUGCUUUAGCAAUAGGUCCAGGAUCGCUUACUUCGAAAUCAUCUAAUAGAAAUGUCUGGGUGGUGUUCUUUAUUGGCGAAAUUGAGCUCCAAAAUUUUCGUGGGUUAUUUUUAACUAAGUUAGGUAGAGUGAACUGAUAAUAAAA